AUUAGGUGUCUACAAGGAAGGAUUUGCCAAUUUAUCUGUAUCAGGCUAGCAAAGUAGCUUCUGGGACUACUUAAUGAGCAUUUAUGACACUGAGAAUAGUGAGCGGUAAGUAUUAGCUGCUCUGCCUCGCAGGCACCUUUGCCUUUUCCUACUGUGACAAAGACCCAGAACAAGUGUAGUAUUCAAAAGGAGGAAAGGGAAAGGUUCAGUCCAGUUAGUCACUUAGCAAGGCUAUUAGGAGCAAUAUGGAUAUUGCAUAGUAGGAAGGUUUGGGAGCCCUAGCAUUUCCUGCAGAAGUUUUCUAUGAUGAAUACAUUAGGCAGAGGAUUAAGUAGGUCUCCUUGGCUGGUUUCCUUUGGAGCCUCCAGAGAUUCUUCCUCUUCACUUGACAGAAGGCCACAGACAGCAGAAAUGGAGUUGGGCAUGGCUCUCUGAUGGCAAUUUCAAGUCUGAAUACAUCUCUUGUUUUUUUCUUUUCCUGUCCAAAGAUAUUUAUAGAAUGUCAGGGAAUGUAGGUCCAGGCUUUUCCUCAGAAAAAUGCCUGCCUCUCUCCCCGAGGAUGGUGCCUUUGAUGGGGUGGAUACUUUGCACUAGGAAUUCUGUCAAGGGUUGUCAUAUUUGUUUUGAAAGGUUCAAAACUUCCCAGCUCACCAACAUUCUUUGCAUGUACAUUAGAAGUGCUGUGUUUCUUUUAAUUCCUUAGUCAAGCUGAGGUAAUACAUUGCAAGGGAGAAAAAUGCAUGUUUGAGGGAUAUUUUUUAAUGUAAUGGUCAAUUGCUCUUUGACUUUGGCUAGACCUGGCUUUCACUAUUUCCUAUGAGGCUUGGAUAAUUAAAUUACUUAUUGUCCCAUCCUAUCUUUCUCCUCCUACAUGUCUCCUGAAUUGUUCUAUCCUGGUGUGCUUUGCACUGCUGCGUUUACAUGAAAACAGCCCUAAAACUUGAGACUGGCACUUCUAUCCCUAUUAUGCUUAUCCAGCUACAAUGGAUAUUUGCUUGUUUGCUGACUUUACCAGAGUUAGACUCAAGUGUUCAGUGCACUUAUUUAUAUGAAGAAAAGGAGAUGUUCCAUGGCACUGGUCUCUCAAAACUUGCAAAUGCUGUCUCUUCUGGGCAAAAUUAUUUCUCUUACAGCACACAUAAUAGAGCUACAGUGAAGGUAACUUCCAGCCCCACGUUAAGUCUUACGAGCUUUAUAGAUUUGGAUAAAUGAUGUUUAAUAUCCCUUGUGGCAGGAUCUCAGGAUUUUUCAUAUGGAAUAACAAGAGGGUUCCUGUGCUUUCUCCAGAAAAGUUUGAUCCACCUCAUCAUAGAUUUGGCUGGGAGUACGAAAAACUGGAGAUUUACAGCUGACCAAGAGGAUGAUAUCAUGUAUCUGACCUGACCUCCAGGCUGCUACUGCCUGCAAAAAAGCGUGUAUAAGGAUACUAUAACCAUCAACUCAGUUUGGAAAAGGACAUGCACUGUUUGUCUUACAAUGCUUUUGAUCACUCAGAAUCCAAGCUGCUCGGGAGAAGAAGCAACAGAGACUGUCUCUCAGCAGUAUAGAUCAGCACUGCUCCAAGAGCUCUUAUCUUAGUGGAGAGAUGUCAGAUGGUGAUCUGUCCUGUGCCUCUAAUAGCAGUGUGUCAGUUUUUCCUUCUAGAGAUGUACCGUGUCAUAUUAUUAAAAUUCCUUGGUGAAUCUUA